AACGUAGGAGACAAACGUUAUCCGGAGUUACUGGGCGUAAAGGGCGUGUAGGUGGUAGUGUAAGUCUGGCGUGAAAUUUUUCGGCUUAACCGGGAAAGGUCGUCGGAUACUGCACAACUAGAGGACGGUAGAGGCGUGUGGAAUUCCGGGUGUAGUGGUGAAAUGCGUAGAGAUCCGGAGGAACACCAGUGGCGAAGGCGGGUCUCUGGGCCGAUACUGACGCUGAGACGCGAAAGCGUGGGGAGCAAACAGG
rnacentral:rRNA from 1 species